AAGAAAUGAUAGUCAACAUGUCUCUGCGCUUUUUGUCAAAACAGAUUCAAGAUUUUACUGAGUUCAAUGGACACAACCAUCAGAAAAGGUUACGGCUAGCUACAGACGUGCCAUAGUCGGAUGAAGUCUACCUACCAAAAGAAGCAUCAUCCAUGCUGCCCAGUGUCAAGGUUCAACGAUGUCUGGAAGUACAUGUCUGGAAGUACCGCCGAGAGAAAAGUCACAAAAUUUGGACAAUUUUAGCCAUUUAAUUCGCUAAACAAGUUGGGCUCGCUUAAGACAUGCCAAUGUCAGAUGAAGUCUACCUCUCCAAAAAGAGAUACAUCAUCCAUGCUACCCAGUGUCAAGGUACAACAAUGCCUUCUUCAGCAACAGGUAAGCUACAGACACGCCAUUUUAGGAUGAAGUCUACCUCUUCAAUAGAAGAUACUUGAUGUAUGGCUGCCCAGUGUUAAGAUAAAACAAUGUCUUCUCCAGCAACAGCGAGUGUUGUGAUCUCCACAGAGAUCUACUCAUCAACCAAGUAGAUGUCUGAGACCUGCAGUUGAUGAGCUUCCUAACAAUUUACAAAGAGUCCGGCAAAUGAACUGCUCUCUCCUUGAUAAAAGUGAGGAUUGUCAUCUCCCUGUAGAUCUUCCCAUCAACCAAGAAGAUGUCUGAGACUUGCAGUGGAUGAGCUUCCUAACCAUUUACAUUGAAUCAGAUAGUGUCUACCUGUCACACAGAAGAUUUCCAAGACCUGCACCAUGUAUAGUCAGCCCACUGUCAACAUAUCACCAGUUUAGAUGUGUGAGGGUUACGCAAGAGGAAGGUAAAAUACCUGUGGUUGUUUUACACUAACAUCAAAGGGUGGUCUGUUUUUGCAGCACUCAUACCAACAGAAUAUCUCGUCACAUGCCACAACAUUUUUGGGGAUGAAAUGCCGGCACCAGCCUAACCCGAAAUGAGAGGUUCGUCCCUACAGAUUGAUAACAGAUUUAAAAGAUAGGAAACAUGUUUUUGAUUAACAAAACCCCUUUAACUGUACAAAAAUACAAUUUUAAAUAAUGAAAAAGGUUUUUAGUACAAACCAUUGAUAUUUCUUCUCAAGUUAAACCAUAAACUAGGAAUGAAAUUAUUUCCCAUCGUAUGAUGAUAGUAAAAGAGCUGGAAUGUGCUUAACACCUUUCCUGACCUAAAACAAAAAGUUUUAAAAUUUAGUUCAGGCAAAUCAGAACCAAUUUAUUUAAGGUAUACUUUGGAAAUAUUGAAAUGUAUAAAUUGAGUCGUCAUUGAUGGAUCACCAUAUUUUGAUGACAAGGGCAAAUAAACGCCCCUAGUUAGUUUUGGCUUCCUUUUUUGUGUCCUGCUAUACAUCUUAGGACAUCUCAAUGUUUCCAUUUUACAGCAUGAAAAAGCUGAUUUCCUAAAACUUUCAUUAUGAUCUUGAAACUUCAGAGUUUGAGAGAAAAACUAAUAUUAUUGAAUCCUCAUGGUCUUCAAGGCAUUUUAUAUAAUGAAGGAAUCAUAAAUGAGCAACAAGAUUUGUUGAUCUCAUUUUUUUUUUAUUGUAGACAUGUUAAUUAAUGAUGUCAGAUAACUUGUCAGGUGUAAUCUUACAUUUAAGUAAAUGUUCUUGUAAAAAGUAGGUGCACCAUUUGCAGGCAAGCACACACCCUGUUUCUCGGGGUGGCAUACUUCUCAGAAGGAGUGGCCUUAAGAUUUCAGAAAGAUAGUUGGCCUGAAAUAAACUUUUGUAACCAGGAGGAAAAAAACUUAUCUUAAAAUUAGAUUGCUUGCAAGGUACACUUAUUUCACUCCACAAACUUAAAGCUUCAAAAAUUUUAGAGUAAACAUAUAACUCAAUAAUUAUAAGUAGCCAUAUUCUUUGCAUUUAAUUUUGUGGACUUAAAGGCACUGGAAACUCAUAGUAAUUACUCAACUUAACUGUUAGCAAAAAAACUUACUUGGUGAGAA